AUUGAACGCUGGCGGCAGGCUUAACACAUGCAAGUCGAGCGGAAACGAUGGUAGCUUGCUACCAGGCGUCGAGCGGCGGACGGGUGAGUAAUACUUAGGAAUCUACCUAGUAGUGGGGGAUAGCUCGGGGAAACUCGAAUUAAUACCGCAUACGACCUACGGGAGAAAGGGGGCAACUUGUUGCUCUCGCUAUUAGAUGAGCCUAAGUCGGAUUAGCUAGAUGGUGGGGUAAAGGCCUACCAUGGCGACGAUCUGUAGCUGGUCUGAGAGGAUAAUCAGCCACACCGGGACUGAGACACGGCCCGGACUCCUACGGGAGGCAGCAGUGGGGAAUAUUGGACAAUGGGGGCAACCCUGAUCCGGCCAUGCCGCGUGUGUGAAGAAGGCCUUUUGGUUGUAAAGCACUUUAAGCAGUGAAGAAGACUCCGUGGUUAAUACCCACGGACGAUGACAUUAGCUGCAGAAUAAGCACCGGCUAACUCUGUGCCAGCAGCCGCGGUAAUACAGAGGGUGCAAGCGUUAAUCGGAAUUACUGGGCGUAAAGCGAGCGUAGGUGGCUUGAUAAGUCAGAUGUGAAAUCCCCGGGCUUAACCUGGGAACUGCAUCUGAUACUGUUAGGCUAGAAUAGGUGAGAGGAAGGUAGAAUUCCAGGUGUAGCGGUGAAAUGCGUAGAGAUCUGGAGGAAUACCGAUGGCGAAGGCAGCCUUCUGGCAUCAUAUUGACACUGAGGUUCGAAAGCGUGGGUAGCAAACAGG
rnacentral:rRNA from 1 species